rnacentral:rRNA from 1 species
GACGAACGCUGGCGGCGUGCUUAACACAUGCAAGUCGAGCGGUAAGGCCCUUUCGGGGGUACGACGAGCGGCGAACGGGUGAGUAACACGUGGGUGACCUGCCCUCAGCUCUGGGAUAAGCCUGGGAAACCGGGUCUAAUACUGGAUAUGACUCCAUGACGCAUGUUGGUGGGGUAGGAAAGCCUUGUGCGGCUGAGGAUGGGCCCGC